rnacentral:rRNA from 1 species
GAGAACUUGGCAGAGAUGCCUUAGUGCCUUCGGGAACUCUGAGACAGGUGCUGCAUGGCUGUCGUCAGCUCGUGUUGUGAAAUGUUGGGUUAACGUCCGCAACGAGCGCAACCCCUAUCCUUUGUUGCCAGCGAUUCGGUCGGGAACUCAAAGGAGACUGCCGGUGAUAAACCGGAGGAAGGUGGGGAUGACGUCAAGUCAUCAUGGCCCUUACGAGUAGGGCUACACACGUGCUACAAUGGCGUAUACAAAGAGAAGCGACCUCGCGAGAGCAAGCGGACCUCAUAAAGUACGUCGUAGUCCGGAUUGGAGUCUGCAACUCGACUCCAUGAAGUCGGAAUCGCUAGUAAUCGUAGAUCAGAAUGCUACGGUGAAUACGUUCCCGGGCCUUGUACACACCGCCCGUCACACCAUGGGAGUGGGUUGCAAAAGAAGUAGAUAGCUUAACCUUCGGGAGGGCGUUUACCACUUUGUGAUUCAUGACUGGGGUGAAGUCGUAACAAGGUAGGCGUAGCGAG